UAUCCCCACCCCCCACCCCCGCCUCCUAGCUUGGUCUACCUAACUCUUCAAGUCCUGCUCUGGCAAUUCCUUCCCGUUCCUCCUCCCUCUCCAGUUUCUGUCACAGAGCCAGCCUGAAAACAGGAGGGGGCUGAUUUUUGCCAGCUGCAGAAAAUUUACAUUUGAAAUUCUUGGAACUCUUGAGAGGGCCUGGGGCAACUGUUAUUCCCCCCUGGCGCUGCCCCUGCAGCUGCUGAUCUCUGCUGCUGCUGUUGCUGUUGUUGCUGCUGCUGCUGCUUCUGCUGCUCCCCACUGCUGCUGCCUCCCUCUGUUGUGUUUGCUGCUUUUGCUAUUGCUGGACUGCUGGGUUGCUGUUUGCUGGUUUGCUGCUUGGAGAUAUCCUGACGAAGAUUGGACUUCCUCCUAGAAACUCGAUGGCCCUAAGUGAUGGGUGAAUCAUGAAUAGGUUCACAACGCUGUGCCUCAGACAUGGAGAACGGGCGACUUGGAAGAGCUAAUCAAGGACAGCCUGCAGGGAAUGAAUGUUUGCUUGUAUGUUUCGGAGUUUGAAAAACUAUACAUUCAAGUCUGAAAGAGAUGUUGGAGUAGGCACAAAAAUCAAUACAAAAUACUAAGCAAAUGUGUUUGUAUGGUAUAACUUAAACAAACAAACAAACAAAGCCAGCAGUGAUGGCACAUGCCUUUUAUCUCAGCACUCAGGAGGCAGCAGCAGGCAGAUCUCUGAGUUUGAGGCCAAUCUGGUCUACCAGGACUACACAGACAGACCGUCUCAAAAACAACAACAACAACAAAUUCUAAAGUUGUACCAACCGUUAAACAAGCCCAGUCAGAAGUAAGCAAUAUUCACAUUACCAGAAUAAGGGAAACAUGAGAUAUAAGCUGAAUUAAACUUUUAAAAUAUAGCUAUACCGUGAAAAGGCAGAGAGUAUUAGUAGGAAAUGUCUAAUACCAAUAAAUCCGAAUUAGCAGCAAACACAAUUUUCAGAAAUAUAGAAACAAAUGCCAAAAGUCAAGGAAGCAGAAAGAUUAGUUGUGAUUAUUCUGAAAAUAAAACCAUUGAGGGACUGGAUACGGUGGAAGUGACAUUGAGGGACUGUGUACGGUGGAAGUGACAAGCUCGGGAUUCUUCCAAGACCCUUGAAAGAUGAAGCAUUCUCAGCAUGACACUGAACCUCUAUGCUCAGGAGAGAAACUCAGACAU
rnacentral:lncRNA from 1 species